GAUGAACGCUAGCGGCAGGCUUAAUACAUGCAAGUCGAGGGGCAGCAUGAUUGUAGCAAUACAAUUGAUGGCGACCGGCAAACGGGUGCGGAACACGUACACAACCUCCCAAUAAGUGGGGAAUAGCCCAGAGAAAUUUGGAUUAAUACUCCGUAACAUAGUGAUGUGGCAUCACAUUAUUAUUAUAGCUACGGCGCUUAUUGAUGGGUGUGCGGCUGAUUAGAUAGUUGGCGGGGUAACGGCCCACCAAGUCUACGAUCAGGAGCUGAUGUGAGGGCAUGAUCAGCCACACGGGCACUGAGACACGGGCCCGACUCCUACGGGAGGCAGCAGUAAGGAAUAUUGGUCAAUGGACGCAAGUCUGAACCAGCCAUGCCGCGUGAAGGAUUAAGGUCCUCUGGAUUGUAAACUUCUUUUAUCUGGGACGAAAAAAGGCUAUUCUUAGUCACUUGACGGUACCAGAUGAAUAAGCACCGGCUAACUCCGUGCCAGCCGCCGCGGUAAAAC
rnacentral:rRNA from 1 species